AGGAGCAUCCAACACGCAAUUCAACCCCCGCCGUGAGAUGUGUCGGUGGCUGUGAGGCAGUUGUGGGGACAUGCCUGGGAGGCUGAAUGGGCAUAAAUCGCAUCAGGAGCCAUCGUACGCUGCAACAACGAUGCAUCAUACCAUCAACUAGUUGCCAGAAAGGUGGCGGGGAACACGGCUUGAUCAGUCAUGCUCGCUAGGCAACCAUCAUGGGGAAGGGAUGUAAGGGUGUCCUCCUCUCGGAUGGGUCGAACUACUCCCAGUGGCUCGGCGACUUAGGCGAUUUCUUUGCAACAUCCAAGUUGAAGACUACAUCAACACCCGUCGCCUCCGG
rnacentral:lncRNA from 1 species